GAUGAACGCUAGCGGGAGGCUUAACACAUGCAAGUCGAGCGGGAUUAGCAGCAAUGCUAUGAGAGCGGCGCACGGGUGCGUAACGCGUAUGCAACCUGCCUUAUACAGGGGAAUAGCCCAUGGAAACGUGGAUUAACGUCCCAUAGGAUCACUGUAUCGCAUGGUUUAGUGAUUAACACUGAGGUGGUAUAAGAUGGGCAUGCGUCUGCUUAGGUAGUUGGUGAGGUAACGGCUCACCAAGCCGACGACCAGUAGGGGUUCUGAGAGGUUUGCCCCCCACCCUGGUACUGAGACACGGACCAGAGUCCUACGGGAGGCAGCAGUGAGGAAUAUUGGUCAAUGGCCGGAAGGCUGAACCAGCCAUCCCGCGUGCAGGAUGACGGCCCUAUGGGUUGUAAACUGCUUUUGUACCUGAAGAAACCUGGUUACGUGUAACCAGUUGCCGGUAAGGUAUGAAUAAGCAUCGGCUAACUCCGUGCCAGCCGCCGCGGUAACAC
rnacentral:rRNA from 1 species